CCUACGGGUGGCAGCAGUGAGGAAUAUUGGUCAAUGGACGAGAGUCUGAACCAGCCAAGUAGCGUGAAGGAUGACUGCCCUAUGGGUUGUAAACUUCUUUUAUAUGGGAAUAAAACGUUCCACGUGUGCGUUUUUGUAUGUACCUUAUGAAUAAGGAUCGGCUAACUCCGUGCCAGCAGCCGCGGUAAUACGGAGGAUGCGAGCGUUAUCCGGAUUUAUUGGGUUUAAAGGGUGCGCAGGCGGAAUGUAAAGUCAGCGGUAAAAUUUCGGGGCUCAACCCCGUCGUGCCGUUGAAACUGGCGUUCUUGAGUGAGCGAGAAGUAUGCGGAAUGCGUGGUGUAGCGGUGAAAUGCAUAGAUAUCACGCAGAACUCCGAUUGCGAAGGCAGCAUACCGGCGCUCAACUGACGCUGAUGCACGAAAGCGUGGGUAUCGAACAGGAUUAGAUACCCCAGUAGUC
rnacentral:rRNA from 1 species